CCUACGGGAGGCAGCAGUGGGGAAUAUUGCACAAUGGGGGAAACCCUGAUGCAGCAACGCCGCGUGAGCGAUGAAGGCCUUCGGGUCGUAAAGCCUGGUCCUAAGGGAGGAUUACGGCGGGUACCUUGGGGGGAAGCCCCGGCUAACUCGUGCAAGAGGCCGGGGUAAUACGUAGGGGGCUAGCGUUAUCCGGAAUUACUGGGCGUAAAGGGUGCGUAGGCGGCCCUUCAAGUCAGAGGUGAAAGGCUACGGCUCAACCGUAGUAAGCCUUUGAAACUGUAGGGCUUGAGUGCAGGAGAGGAGAGUGGAAUUCCCAGUGUAGCGGUGAAAUGCGUAGAUAUUGGGAGGAACAUCAGUUGCGAAGGCGGCUCUCUGGACUGUAACUGACGCUGAGGCACGAAAGCGUGGGGAGCGAACAGGAUUAGAUACCCGUGUAGUC
rnacentral:rRNA from 1 species